rnacentral:rRNA from 1 species
CCUACGGGUGGCUGCAGUGGGGAAUUUUGGUCAAUGGGCGCAAGCCUGAACCAGCAACGCCGCGUGGGUGAUGAAGGCCUUCGGGUUGUAAAGCCCUGUCGGACGGGACGAAAGAACGGCGUAACGAACCGGAAUGACGGUACCGUCAAAGGAAGCACCGGCUAACUCUGUGCCAGCAGCCGCGGUAAUACAGAGGGUGCAAGCGUUGUUCGGAAUUACUGGGCGUAAAGCGCGUGUAGGCGGUUUGGUAAGUCCUGUGUGAAAGCCCCGGGCUC